rnacentral:rRNA from 1 species
CCUACGGGCGGCAGCAGUGGGGAAUAUUGCACAAUGGGCGGAACCCUGAUCCAGCGACGCCGCGUGAGUGAAGAAGUAGUUCGGUAUGUAAAGCUCUAUCAGCAGGGAAGAAAAUGACGGUACCUGACUCAGAAGCCCCGGCUAACUACGUGCCAGCAGCCGCGGCAAUACGUCGGGGGCAAGCGUUAUCCGGAUUUACUGGGUGUAAAGGGGGGGUAGACGGUUCUGCAAGUCUGAAGGGAAAGCCUAAGGCUCAACCAUGGGACUGCUUUGGAAACUGGAAAACUGGAGUGCAGGAGAGGUAAGCGGAAUUCGUAGUGUAGCGGUGAAAUGCGUAGAUAUUAGGCGGAACACCAGUGGCGAAGGCGGCUUACUGGACUGUAACUGACGUUGAGGCUCGAAGGCGUGGGGAGCGAACAGGAUUAGAUACCCCUGUAGUC